GGGGCUGAACUGGUAUCGACUCUGAUCGAUCGAGGUAGGAGAAGCGAGCCGAGGUUCCGGGUCACCUCGCUAAACCGCUCGGAAAAACAACAACUGCUGACUCUAACGAGUACGCACUCGCUGCCUAACUAACAGCGACGCCGGCCUUGGGCUC
rnacentral:tmRNA from 1 species